UGAUGGUGAUGAGGAUACUUUCUGAGCAUGCCCUUAAAUCUCUCCGAAGCUUGGUAGAGAUUUUCUCAAUCUUUCUAUUUGAAGCUCAAUAUCUCACUCCUCAAUUU